rnacentral:rRNA from 1 species
GGGCCCGCACAAGCGGAGGAACAUGUGGUUUAAUUCGAUGAUACGCGAGGAACCUUACCUGGGCUUGAAAGGGGAAUGACUUUCCGGGAAACCGGAAUUCUCUUCGGAGCAUUCUCCUAGGUGCUGCAUGGUUGUCGUCAGCUCGUGCCGUGAGGUGUCGGGUUAAGUCCCAUAACGAGCGCAACCCUUAUCGUUAGUUGCCAGCGGGUAAUGCCGGGAACUCUAGCGAAACUGCCGGUGUAAACCGAGAGGAAGGUGGGGAUGACGUCAAAUCAGCACGGCCCUUAUGUCCAGGGCUACACACGUGUUACAAUGGCCGGUACAAAGGGCAGCUAUGCCGCGAGGCAAUGCUAAUCUCCAAAACCGGUCUCAGUUCGGAUCGAAGUCUGCAACUCGACUUCGUGAAGCUGGAUUCGCUAGUAAUCGCGCAUCAGCAACGGCGCGGUGAAUACGUUCCCGGGCCUU